rnacentral:rRNA from 1 species
GAUGAACGCUAGCGGCAGGCUUAACACAUGCAAGUCGAGGGGUAGAAGUCUUCGGACUUUGAGACCGGCGCACGGGUGCGUAACGCGUAUGCAAUCUGCCUUGUACAAAGGGAUAGCCCAGAGAAAUUUGGAUUAAUACCUUAUAGUAUAUAGAUGUGGCAUCACAAUUAUAUUAAAGAUUUAUCGGUACAAGAUGAGCAUGCGUCCCAUUAGCUAGUUGGUAUGGUAACGGCAUACAAAGGCAAUGAUGGGUAGGGGUCCUGAGAGGGAGAUCCCCCACACUGGUACUGAGACACGGACCAGACUCCUACGGGAGGCAGCGGUGAGGAGUAUUGGUCAAUGAGCGCAAGCCUGAACCAGCCAUGCCGCGUGCAGGAUGAAGCAUCUAUGGUGUGUAAACUGCUUUUGUACGGGAAGAAACACCUCUUCGUGAAGAGGCUUGACGGUACCGUAAGAAUAAGGAUCGGCUAACUCCGUGCCAGCAGCCGCAGUAA